rnacentral:rRNA from 1 species
GAUGAACGCUGGCGGCGUGCCUAAUACAUGCAAGUCGAGCGAACGGACGAGAAGCUUGCUUCUCUGAUGUUAGCGGCGGACGGGUGAGUAACACGUGGAUAACCUACCUAUAAGACUGGGAUAACUUCGGGAAACCGGAGCUAAUACCGGAUAAUAUUUUGAACCGCAUGGUUCAAAAGUGAAAGACGGUCUUGCUGUCACUUAUAGAUGGAUCCGCGCUGCAUUAGCUAGUUGGUAAGGUAACGGCUUACCAAGGCAACGAUGCAUAGCCGACCUGAGAGGGUGAUCGGCCACACUGGAACUGAGACACGGUCCAGACUCCUACGGGAGGCAGCAGUAGGGAAUCUUCCGCAAUGGGCGAAAGCCUGACGGAGCAACGCCGCGUGAGUGAUGAAGGUCUUCGGAUCGUAAAACUCUGUUAUUAGGGAAGAACAUAUGUGUAAGUAACUGUGCACAUCUUGACNGUACCUAAUCAGAAAGCCACGGCUAACUACGUGCCAGCAGCCGCGGNUAUACGUAGGUGGCAAGCGUUAUCGGGAAUUAUUGGCGAAGCGCGCGUAGGCGGUUUUUUAAGUCUGAUGUGAAAGCCCGCGGCUCAACCGUGGAGGGUCAUUGGAAACUGGAAAACUUGAGUGCAGAAGAGGAAAGUGGAAUUCCAUGUGUAGCGGUGAAAUGCGCAGAGAUAUGGAGGAACACCAGUGGCGAAGGCGACUUUCUGGUCUGUAACUGACGCUGAUGUGCGAAAGCGUGGGGAUCAAACAGAAUUAGAUACCCUGGUAGUCCACGCCGUAAACGAUGAGUGCUAAGUGUUAGGGGGUUUCCGCCCCUUAGUGCUGCAGCUAACGCAUUAAGCACUCCGCCUGGGGAGUACGACCGCAAGGUUGAAACUCAAAGGAAUUGACGGGGACCCGCACAAGCGGUGGAGCAUGUGGUUUAAUUCGAAGCAACGCGAAGAACCUUACCAAAUCUUGACAUCCUUUGACAACUCUAGAGAUAGAGCUUUCCCCUUCGGGGGACAAAGUGACAGGUGGUGCAUGGUUGUCGUCAGCUCGUGUCGUGAGAUGUUGGGUUAAGUCCCGCAACGAGCGCAACCCUUAAGCUUAGUUGCCAUCAUUAAGUUGGGCACUCUAAGUUGACUGCCGGUGACAAACCGGAGGAAGGUGGGGAUGACGUCAAAUCAUCAUGCCCCUUAUGAUUUGGGCUACACACGUGCUACAAUGGACAAUACAAAGGGCAGCGAAACCGUGAGGUCAAGCAAAUCCCAUAAAGUUGUUCUCAGUUCGGAUUGUAGUCUGCAACUCGACUACAUGAAGCUGGAAUCGCUAGUAAUCGUAGAUCAGCAUGCUACGGUGAAUACGUUCCCGGGUCU